GCCGCAGUGGUCUAACGGUAUGACACCGGUCUAGCCAACCCGGAGACGGGGGUUCGACUCCCCUCUGCGGCU
rnacentral:tRNA from 1 species